UAGGAACUACUGAUGCUCUUCCAAAGACUA
rnacentral:piRNA from 1 species